AAAUUGAAGAGUUUGAUCAUGGCUCAGAUUGAACGCUGGCGGCAGGCCUAACACAUGCAAGUCGAACGGUAACAGAAAGCAGCUUGCUGCUUUGCUGACGAGUGGCGGACGGGUGAGUAAUGUCUGGGAAACUGCCUGAUGGAGGGGGAUAACUACUGGAAACGGUAGCUAAUACCGCAUAACGUCGCAAGACCAAAGAGGGGGACCUUCGGGCCUCUUGCCAUCGGAUGUGCCCAGAUGGGAUUAGCUAGU
rnacentral:rRNA from 1 species